GAUACCAUUCUGUAACGACCCGAAAAUCGGACCGCUACCGGCGCUAGGAUCCAGAUCGGCUUAAGGCCGCCGGGACCCAUAGCAAGCCUGACAUGUAACCUGUAAACCUGUUUAAUCCCAUACAUGAUCAACAAUCAUACAUAAAAAUUUAAACUUUUCUUCCAUACAUUCUAUCAUACACCAAACUCAACCUGUGCAUGCACUGAACAUAUACAUAAUCAUAAACUUGACCCCUCUGUGGGAUCUCAUCAAUGCCCCCAAUGGGUGGCAUAACAAGUGUUGAGUUGG
rnacentral:lncRNA from 1 species